rnacentral:rRNA from 1 species
CCCGCGUGAAGGAAGACGGCCUUAUGGGUUGUAAACUUCUUUUCUGCACCAAGAAUGUGUCCUACGAGUAGGAUUUUGACGGUAGUGCAGGAAUAAGCAUCGGCUAACUCCGUGCCAGCAGCCGCGGUAAUACGGAGGAUGCAAGCGUUAUCCGGAUUCAUUGGGUUUAAAGGGUACGUAGGUGGCCCAGUAAGUCAGUGGUGAAAUCCUGCCGCUUAACGGUAGAACUGCCAUUGAUACUGCUGGGCUUGAGUACAGUUGAGGUAGGCGGAAUGUGUAGUGUAGCGGUGAAAUGCUUAGAUAUUACACAGAACCCCGAUUGCGAAGGCAGCUUACUAAACUG